rnacentral:rRNA from 1 species
GAUCAUGGCUCAGGAUGAACGCUAGCUACAGGCUUAACACAUGCAAGUCGAGGGGCAGCGGGAAGUCAGCUUGCUGACUUUGCCGGCGACCGGCGCACGGGUGAGUAACACGUAUCCAACCUUCCCGUUACUCUGGAAUAGCCUUUCGAAAGAAAGAUUAAUACCGGAUAGUAUCGAGAGAUUGCAUGAUUACCCGAUUAAAGNUUCAUCGGUAACGGAUGGGGUGCGUUCCAUUAGG